rnacentral:misc_RNA from 1 species
AACGCACGAGACCUGCGGACCUGCGGAAGGAUCAUUAAAGAGUUGCAAGACUCCCAAACCAUUGUGAACGUUACCCACACCGUUGCUUCGGCGGGCGGCCCGGGCCCUGCCCGGCGCCCCCCGGCCCCUCGCGGGCGCCCGCCGGAGGUAAACCAAACUCUUGAAUUGUAUGGCCUCUCUGAGUCUUCUGUACUGAAUAAGUCAAAACUUUUAACAACGGAUCUCUAGAUCGGAAGAGCA